rnacentral:rRNA from 1 species
CGAGGAAGAGGAGAUAGCUUGCUAACUCCUGUUUCUAGCGGCGGACGGGUGAGUAACGCGUGAGCAACCUGCCUUUAUCAGGGGGAUAACGCAUCGAAAGAUGUGCUAAUACCGCGUAAGACCACAGCCUCACAUGGGGCAGAGGUCAAAGGAGCAAUCCGGAUAAAGAUGGGCUCGCGUCCGAUUAGCUAGUUGGUGAGAUAACAGCCCACCAAGGCGACGAUCGGUAGCCGACCUGAGAGGGUGAUCGGCCACAUUGGAACUGAGAGACGGUCCAGACUCCUACGGGAGGCAGCAGUGGGGAAUAUUGGGCAAUGGGCGAAAGCCUGACCCAGCAACGCCGCGUGAGGGAAGAAGGGUUUCGGCUCGUAAACCUCUGUCCUAUGGGACGAAGGAAGUGACGGUACCAUAGGAGGAAGCCCCGGCUAACUACGUGCCAGCAGCCGCGGUAGUACGUAGGGGGCGAGCGUUGUCCGGAAUGAUUGGGCGUAAAGGGCGCGUAGGCGGCCUGCUAAGUCUGGAGUGAAAGUCCUGCUUUCAAGGUGGGAAGUGCUUUGGAUACUGGUGGGCUGGAGUGCAGGAGAGGAAAGCGGAAUUACCGGUGUAGCGGUGAAAUGCGUAGAGAUCGGUAGGAACACCAGUGGCGAAGGCGGCUUUCUGGACUGAAACUGACGCUG